GGGCCAGAAGAUGGCGGCGGCCGCGGAGCUGAGGCUGCUGGAGAAGAGCCUGGGACUGAAGCCGGGGAAUAAGUACAGUGCCCAGGGCGAGCGACAGAUUCCAGUUCUACAAACAAACAAUGGCCCAAGUCUAAUGGGACUGAGUACCAUCGCGACCCAUCUAGUCAAGCAAGCCAAUAAGGAGCACUUGCUGGGGAGCACUGCAGAAGAAAAGGCAAUAGUUCAGCAGUGGUUAGAGUUCAGGGUCACUCGAAUAGAUGGACACUCCAAUAAAGAAGACACCCAGACUCUGCUGAAGGAUCUUAAUUCCUAUCUAGAAGAUAAAGUCUACCUUGCAGGACAUAACAUCACCCUGGCGGACAUCCUGCUGUACUACGGCCUCCACCGCUUCAUAGUUGACCUGACAGUUCAAGAAAAGGAGAAAUAUCUUAAUGUGUCUCGCUGGUUUUGUCACAUUCAA